GGCCUUAAGGUGAUAAUCAUGUCGAAUUGCAAGUUCGAAGGUGUAGAUAAGUUUCUACUAAGGCUU
rnacentral:tRNA from 1 species